GACAGAGGGGGCAAGCGUUGCUCGGAAUCACUGGGCUUAAAGGGCGCGUAGGCGGGCCAGCCAGUCUGUGGUGAAAGCCUCCAGCUUAACUGGAGAAGUGCCGUGGAUACUGCUGGCCUCGAGGAGGAUAGGGGCAUCUGGAACGGUCGGUGGAGCGGUGAAAUGCGUUGAUAUCGACCGGAACUCCGGUGGCGAAGGCGAGGUGCUGGGUCCUUUCUGACGCUGAUGCGCGAAAGCCAGGGGAGACAAGCGG
rnacentral:rRNA from 1 species